CAGUUCGGACUGUAGGCUGCAACUCGCCUACACGAAGUCGGAACCGCUAGUAAUCGCGGAUCAGCAUGCCGCGGUGAAUACGUUCCCGGGCCUUGUACACACCGCCCGUCACACCAUGGGAGUUUGUAACGCCCAAAGUCGGUGGCCUAACCUUUAUGGAGGGAGCCGCCUAAGGCGGGACAGAUGACUGGGGUGAAGUCGUAACAAGGUACC
rnacentral:rRNA from 1 species